rnacentral:rRNA from 1 species
AACGAACGCUGGCGGCAUGCCUAACACAUGCAAGUCGAACGAGACCUUCGGGUCUAGUUGCGCACGGGUGCGUAACGCGUCGGAACCUUCCCUUAGGUUCGGAAUAACUCCCCGAAAUGGGUGCUAAUACCGGAUAAUUUCUUCUGACCAAAGAUUUAUCCCCUUAGUAUGGGCCCGCGUUGGAUUAGCUAGUUGGUAGGGUAAAAGCCUACCACGGCUUCGCUCCAUAGCUGGUCAGAGAGGAUGAGCAGCCACACUGGGACUGAGACACGGCCCAGAAUCCUACGGGAGGGAGGAGUGGGGAAUAUUGGAAAAUGGGGGAAAGGAAGAACGAGCAAGGCCGCGUGAGUGAUGAAGGUGUUAGGGUUGUAAAGCACUUUUAUCCGGGAUGAUAAUGACAGUACCGGGAGAAUAAGCACCGGCUAACUCCGUG